CAGAAUUGUUGACAUUUUUGCAUAUUUAUUAAAAAAGAAAAACUGAAAUAUCACAUGGUUCUAAGUAUUCAGACCCUUUGCUGUGACACUUAUAUAUUUAACUCAGGUGCUGUCCAUUACUUCUGAUCAUCCUUGAGAUGGUUCUACACCUUCAUUUGAGUCCAGCUGUGUUUGAUUAUACUGAUUGGACUUGAUUAGGAAAGCCACACACCUGUCUAUAUAAGACCUUACAGCUCACAGUGCAUGUCAGAGCAAAUGAGAAUCAUGAGGUCAAAGGAACUGCCUGAAGAGCUCAGAGACAGAAUUGUAGCAAGGCCCGUCUUUGUUUAUUCAGUCAUUGUUUCAUUUGCGUCUAUCUACAAUAAUUCUGAAUGCCUCGUACAGGAAUGGGGGUCACUCGGGUUCCCAUGGUUAAAUGGAGUCAUCAAGCUUCAUGGGAAUUCCAUGGCUGCAGAUGCAGAGAACUUUGGCUCUCACCUCAUCUUUACACAGGUCACUCUUUGGACUGGCGCUAUUAUGAAGCAGGCUCUAUCAAGCUGA
ensembl:lncRNA